rnacentral:rRNA from 1 species
UACGGGGGGGGCAAGCGUUGUUCGGAAUUACUGGGCGUAAAGGGCUCGUAGGCGGCCAACUAAGUCGGAUGUGAAAUCCCCAGGCUUAACCUGGGAACUGCAUCCGAUACUGGAUGGCUUGAAUCCGGGAGAGGGAUGCAGAAUUCCAGGUGUAGCGGUGAAAUGCGUAGAUAUUGGGAGGAACACCGGUGGCGAAGGCGGCUACCUGGACCGGUUCUGACGCUGAUGCGCGAAAGCGUGGGUAGCAAACAGG